UCGGACGUAGUUUACGGUGCAUGCCCACACAAUGUUGAACAGUGCUUGUGGUUGAAGCGGGAGUCCUGGGUUCGACUCCCGGCGUCCGAA